ensembl:lncRNA
CUUGUCUUUGUCAAUGUCCAGAUUGCACUAUGUUAGUUGAGAAGAAGCCAGAAACAAAAAGUCAAAAUGGAAUGGUCCUUCUUUUUCAUUAUGAUCCACCCAAGGAAGAUUUCUCUGAAUAAUCUGCUAUCCAAUCAUUCAAGGAGUGGGCAUGAAAACUGCAAUAAGAACCUGUGUGCCUGGGCAGUGCUGGUGUACUUAGAAGCAGGGGACUUGCCUUUUAAGCAGAAGAGUGCCUCCGAACAUCAGUAUCUGCAGAUCUUUUCUUGGAAACUAUUCACUGUCUUCAGAGAGAAUUCCCUUAACUGCCUUUGUGUUUGAGAGCAAGCCUGAUUUCAAGCCUUUGUGGAGAAGAGUGGUAGAAGGAACUACCUCCUGGGAGCAUCAAGACUUUCGGUCACUAAGAAGACCAAGCAUUGAGACUCUGGUUCAGUUUCUCAGAGAAUGAAUGUCUUAUCCUGUUACAAUGAGAAGCAAGAACAUGGUUACCUGGUUGCAAACGAUGAGAG